rnacentral:rRNA from 1 species
UCUACGGGGGGCAGCAGUGGGGAAUAUUGCACAAUGGGGGGAACCCUGAUGCAGCAAUGCCGCGUGGGUGAAGAAGCACUCCGGUGCGUAAAGCCCUGUCAGCAGGGAAGAAAAUGACAGUACCUGACCAAGAAGCCCCGGCUAACUACGUGCCAGCAGCCGCGGUAAUACGUAGGGGGCAAGCGUUAUCCGGAUUUACUGGGUGUAAAGGGUGCGUAGGUGGCAGGGCAAGUCAGAUGUGAAAGCCCGGGGCUCAACCCCGGUACUGCAUUUGAAACUGUCCAGCUGGAGUGCAGGAGAGGUAA